AUGGCGGCGGGCGGCGCGGCGGGGCUCGCGGCGCCGCUGCUCGCGGCGGGCGCCCUGCGCCUCGGCACCUUCGUGCUCAAGAGCGGCCUCGUCUCGCCCGUCUACGUCGAUCUGCGCGUUAUCGUCUCGCACCCGCCGCUGCUCACGCAGGUCGCAGAUCUCCUGUUCCAGACAGCCCAAGAUGCCGGUGUCAGGUUCGGCUCCGUGUGCGGGGUCCCGUACACGGCGCUGCCCUUGGCCACCAUCAUCUGCUCCAAGCAGCACAUCCCCAUGCUCAUACGGCGGAAGGAAGCAAAAGACUAUGGUACGAAGCGGCUGGUGGAGGGCACCAUUAACCCGGGAGAAACYUGCUUGAUCAUUGAAGACGUGGUGACGAGCGGAUCUAGCGUGCUGGAAACUGCAGAGGUCCUUCGGAAAGAAGGGCUCCAAGUCACCGAUGCCAUCGUGCUGUUGGACAGGGAGCAGGGUGGGAAGGCCAGGCUGGAAGAACACGGAAUUCACUUGCACUCGGUGUGCACCUUGUCUGGGGUGUUGGAGGUUCUCCAGCAGCAGGGAGAAGUGGAUGCCCACACGGUUGAAAAGGUGAAGAAAUUCAUUCAGGAGAACACAUUUGAGCCAGCUGCUCCAAAUGGUCCUGCCCCCRUGAAGAGACCGUGUAACGAGCUGAGCUUCCGCACCCGGGCCGAGCUCCCCGGCGUGCAUCCCGUCGCCGCCAGGCUCCUCCUGCUCAUGGAGAAGAAGCAGAGCAACCUGUGCCUCUCGGCCGACGUCACCGACUGCAGGGAGCUGCUGCGGGUGGCCGCCAGCCUCGGCCCCAGCAUCUGCAUCCUGAAGACUCACGUAGACAUCCUCAGUGAUUUUAGCCAGGAGGUGGUGAAGGAGCUGAGAGUGCUGGCAGACCGGCAUGAAUUCUUGAUUUUUGAAGACAGGAAAUUUGCAGACAUUGGGAACACGGUGAAACAUCAAUAUGAAGGUGGUGUUUUCAAGAUAGCGUCUUGGUCAGAUAUGGUUAAUGCUCACGUGGUUCCAGGCUCGGGAGUUGUGAGAGGCCUGAAGGAAGUGGGGCUUCCUUUGCAGCGAGGCUGCCUCCUCAUUGCUGAGAUGAGUUCCCAAGGGUCCCUCGCCUCUGGUGACUACACAAAGGCUGCAGUGCAGAUGGCUGAAGAAAACUCYGACUUUGUUUUUGGAUUCAUUUCUGGAUCAAGAGUUAGUAAAAGACCAGAGUUUCUUCACUUAACUCCAGGGGUGCAGAUGCAAGCUGGAGGUGAUGACCUCGGACAGAAGUACCUAACUCCAAAAGAAGUUAUCAGUGAGAAGGGGUCAGACAUCAUUAUUGUGGGACGUGGCAUCUUGUCUGCCUCCGACCGCCUCCAAGAAGCAGAGAAGUACAGAAAGGUGGCAUGGGAGAGUUACUUAAGCAGGCUUGGUGUUCAUGUGUAAGAUUGAAUUAAGGUCAUUUUUUUUUCCAAUGAAUAAGCAAAGCUCAAGCAGGAGUCAAGAUGGAGCUAAAGCCAUCAUGAGACUUUUUUUCCCAAUUAAAUACAUCAACACGUGGUGUUGUCAGUAGAAAACCAUGUCUUUUCAGAAAAACCUCUUGCUGACUGUUACUUUUAUUGGGCGUGCACACAGGCAAAAUGAACUUUGCCAUGACUGUUUUUUAGUGUUUGAAUAUAUGAAACCAAAACUUGAUGCCAGUUUUUAGCCUAAUUGCUUUUCUCUGGUGAAAAAUGUUGAAAGAAAACACUCCGAUGGGUGCUUGCCUUGCUAUUACUGCUCUUUGUUUCUUUUUUUUUCAUCCUUGUAUUCCUUCUGGGUGAGGAAACAAUAUUUUACUAUUCUCAGUAAACUUCACCUGCAGGACUCACUGCUCAACAAUGUCAUUUCCAACAAGCUGAAUCAGUCUGAAUCCCACACCGUGAAGCUGUUGCUUAAUAAACAUGUUUGCUGCUGUUUUCCAUCAGUUGAAUAUGAAACAGAUUGGACCAAAGGAAUGUGAAAACACCCAGGGGAAGACGUUUCUUUCCAGUGAGGAGUUUCGGAGGUGGUUGACGCAGGACUGUUGUGUUUUGGAAGCCUCGGACAUGGCCUGGAGAACAGACAGGGCUGGACACUUGGUUUGGAAGGAGCCACGGCGACAAGUGCAGCUGCGUCUUCUAACUUUGCAACAAACUGAAACUCCGUGUGGAGGCUCUUGGAGCUUCAGCUUUUCUUCUCCUGGCAGAUUUUCACCAUCUGGGACCAGUGACCCUACCUGUGUGCCCAGUCUGGCCCUGUCCUCGCUCUUGGUUCUCCGUUUCUGCGUGAGCUGCAUCCUGCUCUGAG